UGGGGAAUAUUGCACAAUGGGGGAAACCCUGAUGCAGCGACGCCGCGUGAGCGAAGAAGGUUUUCGAAUCGUAAAGCUCUGUCCUAUGAGAAGAUAAUGACGGUAUCAUAGGAGGAAGCCCCGGCUAAAUACGUGCCAGCAGCCGCGGUAAUACGUAUGGGGCGAGCGUUGUCCGGAAUUAUUGGGCGUAAAGGGUACGUAGGCGGUCUAUUAAGUCAGGUGUGAAAGCGUGAGGCUUAACCUCAUUAAGCACUUGAAACUGAUAGACUUGAGUGAAGGAGAGGAAAGUGGAAUUCCUAGUGUAGCGGUGAAAUGCGUAGAUAUUAGGAGGAAUACCGGUGGCGAAGGCGACUUUCUGGACUUUUACUGACGCUCAGGUACGAAAGCGUGGUGAGCAAACAGG
rnacentral:rRNA from 1 species